GUCUUUCAUCACCCUGUAAGUGCAUCAAAUAUAAACUCUUCAUUCGGUGCACAUCUUGGACCUACAUCUUACUGUCUUUUGUCGCUCACAGGGAGAGCUGGAGGCAGGUUUUAACCAGGAGUCUCUGCUCAGCUCAGCAUGUCGUCGUCCCUCCGGCCUCACGAUCUCUACGCGACCUCUGCGUGUCCCCUCCAUUGCCUCGUCCUCAGAGGCCAAAGUGUUGGUUGGCUGCUCAGGAAGCUAAGCUGCUGCUCCAGACGACAAACUCUGAAGGCCAGAUAGCAGGACGACAGGACCAACAGGAAGACACUGAGAGACAGACAGGUAAAUAACAAAUAAUUACAGAUCAUAU